ACAUCCAGCGAACUUGGCAGAGAUGCCUUGGUGCCUUCGGGAACGCUGAGACAGGUGCUGCAUGGCUGUCGUCAGCUCGUGUUGUGAAAUGUUGGGUUAAGUCCCGNAACGAGCGCAACCCUUAUCCUUUGUUGCCAGCGAUUCGGUCGGGAACUCAAAGGAGACUGCCGGUGAUAAACCGGAGGAAGGUGGGGAUGACGUCAAGUCAUCAUGGCCCUUACGAGUAGGGCUACACACGUGCUACAAUGGCGCAUACAAAGAGAAGCGACCUCGCGAGAGCAAGCGGACCUCAUAAAGUGCGUCGUAGUCCGGAUCGGAGUCUGCAACUCGACUCCGUGAAGUCGGAAUCGCUAGUAAUCGUGGAUCAGAAUGCCACGGUGAAUACGUUCCCGGGCCUUGUACACACCGCCCGUCACACCAUGGGAGUGGGUUGCAAAAGAAGUAGGUAGCUUAACCUUCGGGAGGGCGCUUACCACUUUGUGAUUCAUGACUGGGGUGAAGUCGUAACAAGGUAGGCGUAGUGCU
rnacentral:rRNA from 1 species